UACGUAGGGCGCAAGCGUUGUCCGGAAUUAUUGGGCGUAAAGAGCUCGUAGGCGGUCUGUCGCGUCUGCUGUGAAAACUCGGGGCUUAACCCCGGGCCUGCAGUGGGUACGGGCAGACUAGAGUGUGGUAGGGGAGACUGGAAUUCCUGGUGUAGCGGUGAAAUGCGCAGAUAUCAGGAGGAACACCGGUGGCGAAGGCGGCUCUCUGGACCGAUACUGACGCUGAGGCGCGAAAGCGUGGGGAGCAAACAGG
rnacentral:rRNA from 1 species